AUUGAACGCUGGCGGCAGGCUUAACACAUGCAAGUCGAGCGAGCGGCGGACGGGUGAGUAAUGUCUGGGAAACUGCCCGAUGGAGGGGGAUAACUAAUGGAAACGGUAGCUAAUACCGCAUACCAUCAGAUGUGCCCAGAUGGGAUUAGCCAGUAGGUGGGGUAACGGCUCACCGAGGCGACGAUCCAUAGCUGGUCUGAGAGGAUGACCAGCCACACUGGAACUGAGACACGGUCCAGACUCCUACGGGAGGCAGCAGUGGGGAAUAUUGCACAAUGGGCGCAAGCCUGAUGCAGCCAUGCCGCGUGUAUGAAGAAGGCCUUCGGGUUGUAAAGCACUUUCAGCGGGGAGGCGUUACUCGCAGAAGAAGCACCGGCUAACUCCGUGCCAGCAGCCGCGGUAAUAC
rnacentral:rRNA from 1 species